GAUGAACGCUGGCGGCGUGCCUAAUACAUGCAAGUCGAACGCACAGCGAAAGGUGCUUGCACCUUUCAAGUGAGUGGCGAACGGGUGAGUAACACGUGGAUAACCUACCUCAAGGUUGGGGAUAACAUUUGGAAACAGAUGCUAAUACCGAAUAAAACUUCGUAUCGCAUGAUACAAGGUUAAAAGGCGCUACGGCGUCACCUAGAGAUGGAUCCGCGGUGCAUUAGUUAGUUGGUGGGUAAAGGCUACAGACAAUGAUGCAUAGCCGAGUUGAGAGACUGAUCGG
rnacentral:rRNA from 1 species